UUGACUGCUCUGGGGACCAGAACUUCAGGUUUCUCUGCAAAGCAGAGUGUAGACAACAGCGAAGGAUUCAGCUCUGACUGCCCAUUCUGGGUCAGUGAGCCUCAGCCCUGCCUGCUGGGUCCACCAGCUCUGGGUGGAAGGGUAAUUUGGUCUCCUCUCGACUUAAUCCUCGCCUGUC
ensembl:misc_RNA